rnacentral:rRNA from 1 species
ACUUUAUGUACUAACUUAAUUUAAUCAAAUUUUAAAGGUUUAGUCUGGUGUUAUAUUUUAUUGGGGCGAUAAAAGUAUAAAUAAUAUUAACUGCUUAAUUAUAAAACAAUAGUAUUUGAGUUUGAGUAGUUGAUCCUUAUGUGUGGAAUAAAAGACUAAGUU